CAAAGUGGAUACUUCUUUUCGUCCAUUCCCAAAGGAGAAGUGUGACAUCCCACAUCGGAUAGGGGAGAAAGCUUCUGACGCUAUAUAAGUAUUGACUCAUCGUAACCCUAUAGACAUGUUUUAAAAUCGUGAAAACCCCUUUGGGUUCAAAGCAAAUAAUAUCUACACUGUUGGAAGCAGGUUGUUAUAAAUGGUAGUAGAGCGCAUCUCCGACCUCGAUGUGGGGGUUUGUUUGGCAUCGAAGGAGUGUUCAUCUGUUUGGCCCUACAAUUCUGUGGGAUACAACGAGGACGUUGUAUCUGCAUGAGGAGAGUGUUUAUGACAUUCCACAUCUGAUAGGAGGGAAAGUUCUUGGUGCUAUAUAAGUAUGAACUUCUCUUAAUCCUGUAGACGUGUUUUAAAGUCGUGAGAGUUCUUUUGGGUCAAAAGCGGACAAUAUCUACAUGGUUGUGAGUGGGUCGUUACAAAUGGUAUUAUAGCCGAUCCUUGACUUCAGUGUGGGGUUUGUUUGGCCUCGUAAGGGUGUUUGUCUGUUUGACCCUACAAUCUUGUGGGACACAACGAGAACGUUGUGUUUGCAUGAGGGGUGUUUGUAAUAUUUCACAUUGAAUAGGGGAGAAAAUUCCUGAUGCUAUGUAAGUAUGGACUAUUCUUAACCCUGUAAAUACGUUUUAAAGUCGUGAGGAUCCUUUUAGUUCUAAAGCGAACAAUAUCUACACGGUUGGGAGUGGGUCGUUACAAAUGUUAUCAUAGUCGAUCCCCAACUUCGGUGUGGAGUUUGUUUGGUCCCGUAAAGGUGUUUGUCUGUUUGGCUCCACAAUCCCGUGAGACACAACGAGGACGUUGUGUCUGCAUGGGGGAGUGUUUGUGACAUCCCACAUCGGAUAUGAGGGAAAGUUCCUGGUGCUAUAUAAGUGUGAACUUCUCUUAAUCCUGUAAACGUGUUUUAAAGUUGUGAGGGUCCCUCUGGAUUCAAAGUGGACAAUAUCUACACGGUUGAGAGCGGGUCGUUACAAAUGGUAUCAGAGUCGACCUCGGUGUGGGGUUUAUUUGGCCCUAUAAGGGUAUUUGUCUGUUUGACCCCACAAUCCCAUGGGACACAAUGAAGACGUUGUGUCUACAUGGUGGGUGUUUGUGACAUUCCACAUCGGAUACGCUAUAUAAGUAUGGACUCCCUUUAGAUGCGUUUUAAAGCUGUGAAGACCCCUUUGGGUCGAAAACAGACAAUAUCUACACGGUUGGGAGUGGGUCGUUACAAGAAGCCAGUCUACAAUAGAACAAAACAACUCAAUUCCCUAAAAUAUGAAGCAGAAGACAGUCUAGACUGGAACAAUUCAAUUCCCUAAGAUAUGAAGCUUCGUGGAAAUGCAAUUUGAUGAGUUAAGGUUUUGUUUGGUUCCAAAAAAUUUGAAAGAAAAUGGAGAGGAAAAGAUUAUGUUUGAUUUGUUGAACACUUGAGAGAGAAUGCAAGGGAAAAAAAAGAAAGAAGGAAAAUAAAAAAUAAAUUUAAAAUUAAUAAAUAAUUUUUAUAUAUUAUUUCAAACUCUUUUUAUUUAUUUUAAUUAUUCAAUAUAAAUAUUAAAUAAUUUUAAAAUAUAUAAAUUUUUAUUUAUUUUAAUUAUAUUUGAUUUUCUUUCAUAUUUUCCUCAAUAAUAUCAAAUAUAAGAAAAUAAUUUUUCUCAAUGUUUUUUUUUUCCUUAAUAUUUUCACAUAACCAAACAUAACCUAAAAGAUUGGAGUAUAUUAUAUAUAUGAGAAAAUUCUUUAUAACACUUGCUUAAUAGAAUAAUCCAAUCCAAGGAUUCUCAAGUGGCUCGUUUUUAGUUUCUCAUUAUAAGUGUUGAAAAUUGUCAAAUCAAUCUUGUGCAUGAUUAGUUAGGAGUGAAGAUAUAAGUUCUGUUUUACAACUGUUUUUUAAAAUAAUUUUUUGUUCUUCAGAAAAAAGCUUGAAAAAUUCAUUUAAUAAUAAAAAAAUGUUUUCUAUUAUUAAAAAUAGAAAAUAAGGUGUUUUUAAAAAACAUAUUUUAAUUAUUUUAUAUUGUUUUUAACUUGUUUUAUGAAAAUUAUUUUAAAAAAAUAAGUAUACAAACAUUUAAAAUAAUUAAAAAUAAAACACUACAAAAUAAAAUUAUUUUUAAAAAAUAUUUAAAAAUACAAAAAAUAGGUAAAAAAAAAAUCAUUUUAAGUUUUAAAACAGACUUUUGUUUUAUAAAACCUCAUAAAAUAGUUUUCAAAAAUUAUUCUCAAAAAUUAUUUUUCACAAUUAUUUUUUAAAACAGUUACCAAAUAAGCUCAUAAUUUCUUUCAAAUUUUAAUUGUUUUUGAGAACAAUUACCAAAUUGGCUCAUAAUCUAUUUUGAAUUUUAACUUUAUUUAUAUUUUUGAAAUUAAGUGCCAAGUAGGAUAUAGCCAACAAUUAAUCACACAUUAAAAACUCUUAUGUGGCACAAAAUUAUGAGCUAAAAGAUAAAGUUACAACAUUGACAAUAAACAUAAGUUAUUCAAUCCAUCCUAGAUUUUCACUUCCUCCGUUUGCAUAGGAAUGACAAUUUCACGGGUUAAUCGGGUCACCCACCCCACUCCUAUUGGGACGGGUAUGAGAUAAAUUAAUCGGGUAUAGGACGGGUAUGGGAUAGUUUUGUGAAACCCGGAUCAGGUUCGGGGCGAGUAUGGGUUUGUAGUUACCCACCCCGCCCCGCCCCGUCCCGAAAUUAUAAUUACCAACAGAGUUUGGGUUUGAAUAUGAUCUGAUCUAGUGGGUAAGAAGAGAAAUGAGGUUUAGGGAAAAUGAAGAGUCAGUUGCUCAACCUACGUCCUCUAUGCCGGCUCUUUCCUUUACUACAACCACUACCAGCACCAGGGCUUCACCAUUGUCGUCGACGCCAUCCUUGGAAUCGAGAGAGGGACUGACGUUGGUCAUGUUCUCUCGUUGUUGGUUCUGCUGCUUAUCUCAAUACACUGGCGCUUAACAACGCUGUUUCCCUCUGCCCUUUGUUUAACCAAGGUUAAGAGAAGAGACUGGGUCAGGGCUUUCUUCUUAUUGAAUGGAAGAGUCUAGAAGAGUCAAGUAGAGCCGUUGGAUUUGGGGUUCAGUGGAGGCGAUAUGGGCCGUCUGAUGGACCUGCCCCCUUGGUAUUGAUGAUGUUCUGACGUGGAGAUAAGAGACUGGCCAGUUGACGUGGUGGCGUCACAGUCUAACUGGUAUUGCUGGCGAAUGGCCUUCCUACCUCUUUUUCUUUUUUCUAUUUUAAUCAUGUCAUCCCUCAUUUUCACAAUUACCACAUACCCAUCCAUCACUUCACUUUAAUCCCGAACCAAUUCUACUCAAAUACCCGAAUUGCCCUAAAAAAACUAGAACCUCAUUGAAUGCUAAAAUUGAUCUCUCGAAUCGACCCCGCCCCACCCCGAUAGGUACGGGGAUGGGAUCCCAUUAACCCGCCCCACCCCGGGUAUGGGACGGGGAUGGGAAAUAGUUUUAUAUAAUUGGGACGGAAAUGGGGUAGGGGUGGCCCCGCCCAAACCCGCCCCGUUGCCAAUCCUAUAUUUGCACACUUUUAUUAAACAAUUCUCAAUGACUCUUUUAUUAAACACAUUGAACUUCUUUUAAGGUAUGGAUAUUUGACUUUCUUCAAGUUUUUAAGGGAAUGUUCUUUCUCCAAUGAUUGAGAGUACCAUGACGAAUUAAUUGUUGUUGAACAGUGAAGAGAUAUGUUUUAAGGUUUUCAAAAUUCAAAUGUGAAGAAAAUAAAGAGUAUAAUUUCAAUAAUGCCAAAGUUCUUCAAAUUUGGAAAUUUGUUCUUUAUAUUUUUAAAAUACGUUUUAAACAAUUUUUUUAAAAAAUAAAUUAAGAAUUUUAGUGAACUUUGGGAUUUAUUUUCCUUUUUUUAAAAUAAAAAAUAAUAGUAUUUAUUAUAUAAAAAGUAUAGAUUUAUUUUAUAGGUUGUAUUUUUUUUAAUUCCACAAAAUUUUUAAACAAUUUUUAAAAAUCACUAUCUUUUAAAAGUUUUUAAAAUUGUUACAUUUUAUAGGGAUGACGAUAGUGCGGACUUUUUCGGAUACAUGUGCCUAAUUAUCUAUGUUUGAAAUUUAAAUAAAUGGAUUAUGAACGAGGUUGGGUUUUUUUUUUUAAAACUCGGAAUUCAAAGCGGGUUCAAGAUAGGUUUGGGUAUUACUUUGACUCGCCCUACCUAAUUAUAUAUAAAAUUAGUUUUAAAAAUUAAUUUAAUUUAAUUUUUCUAUUCUUAUUUUUAAUAUAUAAUAAUAAAAUACUUUUCAAUAACAUAAUUUAUAAAAAAUUAUAAUAUUUUUAAUUAUUUAUAAAAUAUAUUUAUUUUAAUCAAAUUAAAGAAUUUUUAGAAAAUUAAUUUUUUUUUCAAAAUAAAGUUAAAUGAGGCAGGUAUGAUAUGAGAAAUUCGCAUAUCCACCAUACCCAACUUAAUUUUAAAAUAUGUGGACACUUUUUAUUGUGGGAAACACCCAAAUGAAGUUUUAUUAGAUAUGCUUGAUUCCUGAAAAAUACUAAGGUUAUAUUUGGUUCUUAAAAAAUAUUAAGGUUAUAUUUGGUUUCCAAAAAAUAUUAAAAUUCCAAAAAAUAUUAAGGAAAGAAAAAAAUGGUAAGAAAAAUAAUUUUAUAAUAUUUGAUUGUCUUAUGAAAAAUUUCAAAGAAAAUAAAAUAUAAUUAAAAUUAGUCCCAAACUUGUAUAUUUUACCAUUAUUUAAUCUUUAUAUUGAUGAAUUAAAAUAAAUAAAAUGAAUUUAAAGUAAUAAAUAAAAAUAAUUUAUCGAUUUUAACUUUAUUUUUUAUUUUUUUUCACUUUUUUUUUCCUUUUAUUUUUUUUUCUUUUCUUUGUAUUUUCUCUCAAAAAUUUUAGAACCAAACAUAAGGAAAUAUUUAAAAAAAAAAAAUAAUUUUCUUAUAUUUGGUUUUAUUAUAAAAAAAAUAAAAUUAAAUAUAAUUAAAAUUAGUUAAAAAUUUAUGUAUUUUUCAUACAUCUAAAUAAACAUAUAAAAAUAAUUAAUUUAUUUUAAAUCUAUUCUUUUUUUACUUUUUCUUUCCCUUCACUUUUUUUUUUUUUCUAUUUUUCCUCAAAUUUACUGAACCAAACCUAACCAUGAGGUUUAUGUUAUGAAUAAAACAACUGUAACUUGCCUCGUUCUUUAAACUACUUAUGAUUAAGCCAAUUGAAGGUUGCCUUGUCCUUUCCCGUAAUAUGAGGAAAGAUGGAGGAAAAAAAUUGAACAUCAACCCAGUAUUGGGCACCAUUGAGGGGUCUCUCGCUCUCAUGGAAUGGACCAGCAGAAAGACCCAGUUGCCUUCAAUGGCAAGGACGAUUCCUUCCCUGAUGAGAUGGAGUUUCCAGGUUCAUGCUCAUCCACAAAGCUACAAACUGAAGGGAAUCAAAGAAAACCACACAUUUCUCUUCUACAGUCAAAUUUGGAGGCUGCAGGCUGGCUGGCUGGCUCGCUCCUCAGCCCAAAAUUUUCUCUUCAUACAUUAUUACACGACUGUUCAGUGACUUAAUUAAACUUUUAAACAUAUGAGUUCUGGAUGCAUGGGGUUGAAAAUUUUAUUUAUAAUAGUCUUGGAUUUGGACAUAACUAAAAAUAAAUACCUACCACAAAUUGACUGGUUGAUUUGCAUUUCUAGCUCUUUGUUUUUUCUUUAAUGCCGGACAAAUGCUCCCACUUACCUUAAGAGAAAGACGUAAACAAUCAAUGUAUUUAUUAUAUACACUAACGUCCCACAUCGAUUACCCAAAAAGAAUUUGGAUAUUAUAAAAUUUUGGAUACUGCAUAUAUAAUAGACUCUUUUUAAAUUAUAUAAAUAUAUUUUAAAAUCGUAAAUAUUUAUUAAUAUUCGAAUGGAUGAUAUUUCAACAUGGAUAUGUCUCAUCAAUUAAUAGCUUUUUGACUCUUACUUUUCACUUACGUGGAAUUUAUUAAUGUCAAGCGAAGGCCCACCUCCAAUUGGUGCCCCAUGAUCUAUUGUCGACGUCAAGAACAAGUCACAUUGACCCUGAGGCCUAACCUGUAAUUUGGGCAAACUCAUGGUUCACACCAAGAACAAGUCUUUGGGCACUGUGGUAGGUCGUUUUGUCUGUUUGUUCUCUGAGGGUCACAAACUAUUGGAUGAGGGAAGACUUUUUCCAGCACCCAAAAGGUCGAUGCUAAUUAAGACUUUCAAGUCUUAACCGGUUAGGUACUACCAUAGACCUUGUCAUAUGAAACUUCUACAAUGAUUGGUCAAUUUUCAUUAAAUUUUUUUUUAGGUACCUAAAGAAUAUGAUAAAAUUUAAAUCAUUAUAAGGAGGUAUAAAUAAUACGAUCAAGCAAAAAAAGGAAAUUAAAAUGCUAAGUAUCAUGCUUGAGAUAAAAAAAAAAAAACCAAAAAAUAUACGAAACAACAAAAUCGAAUUUGGUACAAAAUCAUAAAUUUUAAAUAUAUAUAUGAGAUGAUUUGAUUGAUAAUGUUUUUCAGACCAAUUUAGUAUAGUAAUGACACCCAUUAAUGUUCCAAUAUUCUAGAUCAAUAUAUACAAAGUUAUGCCUAAAACAAAAUUUUCAAGUCAAUAUUCUAAGUAUUCAUCCUCCUAAUGAUUCCAAUAUUCUAGAUCAAUAUAUACAAAGUUAGGCCUAAAACAAAAUUUUCAAGUCAAUAUUGUAAGUAUUCAUCCUCCUAAUGAUUUGGACUAACUAAAAGUAUUAUUUUCUUGGGUGGGUGAAAAAUCAAACAAAACCCUCAUUGCUAGGAUGUUUCAAUCAAACGAAAGUUGUAAUGCAGAUGAUUCUAGAAACUCCACAUUUCAAUUUUGUUUAGACCAUGCAGUUGUAUAAAUGGCUGGAAAUUUAACAUACGUAUAAUAUGAUUGGUAUAUGAGGAAUAUCUUCAAAACCAGUAACGGUCAUUCUAAUUGGAUAUGAAGAAUCAUGAGGCCAGUGCCGGUCAUUGGUAUGAGACUAAGUCUAGCUGCUAUGCUGUAUAUUCAACGAGGAACUUCAAAGGGGUCGAAAAUAGCAUAUAGUUCAUAUGAAAAAUGCCCACCUGUCAUUGACCACAUGCAGCAAUAUUAGACUAGUCUGCUAUUCCUUCAACACUUUCACGGGGCUUACUAUUCCUUCAAAAUUGGAGGUAUUGAUUUCAUGAUUACGUCACAAAAAUGAUCUCUUACCACUGUAGUCUAUGCGUGGCUCCCCCAUAACAACUAGUGAUGUUGAAGAGGUCAAGUAGUUUGACAUUCCUCUCCUAUAUAUUUAUUCAAACUUCCCUCUGCGGAGCAAUAAAGAAAGCCUUUCUUUCUAUUUCCCUCUCUUCUUUUGUGGGCAUUUUGUAGAAGUGGGGGCGGUGGUGAGAGGUUUCUGCAGACACUUUGUGAGGAAUUUGCAGUGAGUUUUGUUCACUAAAUCAUCACUCAGCAUCCCUCAACUGGGCGCUAGUGUUGUAGUUCUGAUUUUUUUGGCAGUAUUUUGGGAGUUGGGGGCACCAGCAGAAGAGGGAGUUUGAUCCAUGGCUGAUGAACUUGAAGAGCGUAGUUUGGAGGAAACGCCUACUUGGGCUGUUGCAGUGGUCUGCUUUGUGUUGCUUGCUGUUUCGAUCUUCAUCGAACAUAUUUUUCAUCUUAUUGGAUCGGUAAGGCUGCUUAGUUAUUUUCCUGACGGGGUUGAUCAGUAGAGUGCCUUGCUGCUCAUUAUUCAUCAACACUUUUCUUGGUGAUGAUAUCCAUGGAAGGAUUUUUUUUUUUUUCCUGGAAAUUUGCAUUGAAUUCAACUUUGGAUCAACUAUUAUUAAAUCUGCAUUCCCCCCCCCCCCACCCCCCCCCCCCCCCAACUGCAAAGAACACAGGGUGAUGACCCUGAACAAAUCAACAACACACAUAAGUAGCAAUUGGUAAAACCAAUAAUUAUAUUAAUCCUUAGUAUAUGCAGGUUGUGUUGUUGUGAUGAAGCUCACCCCAUUGAGAUUCUGAUGGCAAUGUCUUCUGUCUUUUGGUGAUAGCAAGAUUGCAGCCCAAACUCAGACUGAAAGAUCGGGAAAAAAAGGCCAUGAGACACUCCAAAGAUGAGGAGGGGAAGAAAAGAGAGAGGUUUGAGUCAAUCGCUUACCGUGCACCAUGCGAAGAAAGCCAGCUGAAAUGCAUUCAGUGAUUUGAGAAACAAGACAGAAGUAGUAUAGGCGAAGUUAGAAUGUGCCAAAGUAUUACGUGAGCCCCUUAGUAUCAAACAAAGGNNNNNNNNNNNNNNNNNNNNNNNNNNNNNNNNNNNNNNNNNNNNNNNNNNNNNNNNNNNNNNNNNNNNNNNNNNNNNNNNNNNNNNNNNNNNNNNNNNNNAAAUUUUCAUAUUCAUGAGUUGAUUUGAUUAUGAUCAGUUCUGACUUCAUUUGCAGUGGUUAAAAGGCAGACACAGGCGAGCCCUUUAUGAAUCUCUGGAAAAGAUCAAAGCAGGUGAUUCUUUUAACUUCUCAUUGAGAGUAGUUCUUCCAUAAUAUAUCCAAAGGUCUAACCCUUUUCUAUCUUGGCUUGUGUUGUGAAGAGCUUAUGCUGUUGGGAGUCAUAUCCUUGCUGCUUACAAUAUUACAAGAUUACAUUUCAAAGAUAUGCAUUUCUGAGAGUGUUGGGUCCACUUGGCACCCUUGUAAAAAGGAAACCAAAGAUUUUAAGAACACAUGCUCUGAGGUAAUUAAGUUCAUAUAAUUUCUAUAUUAUAUUAAGCCUUCUGACUUCCAGAAAUAUUAUUGACUGAAAAAGGUGUUUCCCACCCUCUUUUCCUGCAGGGAAAAGUCCCAUUAGUGUCUUCCUAUGGGAUCCAUCAACUCCAUAUAUUCAUCUUUGUGUUAGCUCUCUUUCAUGUGAUUUACUGUGUGGCCACCUUGGCUUUGGGAAGAACCAAGGUACAUAAUAUGGUUAUUGAAUGCUUGUUUCAUCUUCUGAUCAGUUUGUAGGUGUUUAUGGUUAUUGAAUGCUUGUUUUUGGAUUGCAGAUGAGAAGAUGGAAGGCUUGGGAGGAUCAAACUAAGACGAUUGAAUAUCAAUACUCUCAUGGUAAUUAAAGUCUCUAUACUGGAAUCCUUACCUCUCUCAUCUAUGGUUAUCCAACUCAUGAGGGUUCCAUUUGGUCUGAAAGUCAUCAUCACAUCUCCACAUUCAUCAAUCAAGGGUUCUAAGUCAAAAAGUAAAAUAAAAAUAAGCAAAUAUAUCAUAUUUUAUGGACACUUAAUUUUUUUUUUUAUAAAUUUGAAGACUAAUUGCAAUUCUAAGUUCAAACCUAUGUAUAUUUUUCCAUUAAAGCAAUUGAAAAAGUCACAUCCUAAAUGCAUGGUUGUAGAGAAAAAAACGUCAUUGACUUUUGUGAUGACUUGCACAUUUUUAAGAUGUUACAGAUAAAUAUUAUUAUGUUUUCAAAUUCAGAAAACAAAAAAAAUAAAACAAAAUCAUACACUUUUGUUUACACUUUAUAUAUGGCCCUACAUAUUUGACACUUGAGAGUAUAUAUGUGUUGUUGCAGAUCCAGAGAGGUUUAGGUUUGCAAGGGAUACAUCCUUUGGGCGCAGGCAUUUGAAUUUCUGGAGCCGCUCUCCUGUUCUCCUCUGGAUUGUAAGAUUUUUUUACCCUCAUUUUCUCGGGAAAAUUAAUAAGUUUUAAGUAUUUCAUUGAAUCCUAAGUAUCAAUUAUUAUUGAAAAUAUAACAAACUUCUGUACAACUUUUUUUUUUUUUUUUUGUCCAUAUCUUCAGGUCUGCUUCUUCAGACAAUUCUUCAGAUCGGUUAACAACGUUGACUAUCUUACAUUAAGACAUGGAUUUAUCAUGGUAAGUUGAACAUAUGAAUAUCUGUACCAAUUUGAUCACACUCAAGAAAAAAAUCCCAUAUCCAAAUUGAUCAUGGAUGGAGCUCUAAUGUAAUAGUAAUCGAUUUUCAGGCACAUUUGUCACCUGGAAGUGAAACAAAAUUUGAUUUCCGAAAUUACAUCAAAAGAUCGCUUGAAGAGGACUUCAAAGUUGUAGUGAGCAUCAGGUAAACAUCUAGAAUUUUGAGCCGCAGAUUCAUUUCUUUCAUUGAUCUCUUAUCUUACCAUCCUGGGGCAUAUGCCCUUUUGCUUUUAUGCAGCCCAGUAAUAUGGUUCUGUGCAGUAUUGUUCCUACUCACCAACACACAUGGUAAGCUUAAUCCUCAUACCAUUCUUUGGUAGCUAGCUAGUUACAGUUGGUAACGACUUUGAGGCCACGAGACUGAGAAAUUUUCUUUUGUUUUUGGGCAGGGUGGUAUUCUUACUUGUGGCUUCCAUUCAUCCCCUUAGUUGUAAGCACAAUUUCAUUACAAUCCUUUGUUUCUCCAGGAUUGGUUUUCAGUUUUAACAUAUGUUCUUUUGGGUUGAGAGCAAUAAGGAUGACAAGUUUGGUUGAAUCAAUGUGAAUGUUGUAGAUAAUACUCUUGGUGGGAACAAAGCUUCAAGUGAUCAUAACCAAACUGGGAUUGAGGAUUGCAGAGAGAGGUGAUGUGGUGAAGGGUACACCAGUAGUUGAGCCAGCCAACGACCUCUUCUGGUUCAAUCGCCCUCACCUCAUCCUCUUUCUGAUCAACUUUGUUCUCUUCCUGGUAUUUCUCAGUUACAUCUACUCUAUUUACCUUUGUUUGAUACUAAGUGGCUCACAUAAUACUAUGGCACAUUCUAACUUUGCCUAUACUACUUCUGUCUUGUUUCUCAAAUCACAGAAUGCAUUUCAGCUGGCUUUCUUCGCAUGGAGCACGGUAAGCGAUUGACUCAAACCUCUCUCUUUUCUUCCCCUCCUCAUCUUUGGAGUGUCUCAUGGCCUUUUUUUCCCGAUCUUUCAGUAUGAGUUUGGGCUGCAAUCUUGCUAUCACCAAAAGACAGAAGACAUUGCCAUCAGAAUCUCAAUGGGGUGAGCUUCAUCACAACAACACAACCUGCAUAUACUAAGGAUUAAUAUAAUUAUUGGUUUUACCAAUUGCUAAUUAUGUGUGUUGUUGAUUUGUUCAGGGUCAUCACACAGGUACUAUGCAGUUAUGUGACACUCCCACUCUAUGCCUUGGUGACACAGGUAAGAAUGAAAAUUCUGGCUUAAUCACAUAAUAUUUCAAUUUUCGACAUAGUUUCUGCGGAUUAAAGAAGUGAUGAGAUUUUAUCUGAUAUAUGCAGAUGGGCUCCACCAUGAGACCGACAAUUUUUAACGAGAGAGUGGCCACGGCUCUAAGAAGCUGGCACCAGGCGGCCAGGAAGCACACAAAACAUGGGCGCCACUCGAAUGGUGUGUCCCCACAGUCGAGUAGGCCAGCGACUCCAUCAUAUGGGAUGUCCCCUGUUCAUCUAUUGCAAGGCUACCACAACCACACUCCUGAUAUGUCUCCAAGACGAUCAAACUUGGACAACGAAUGGUAUGGGGAAGGAGCAGGGUCUCCAGGGAAGAAGGAUGAUGAUGAGCAUGAAAAGGAGAAAUUUGAAUCCAGAGAGCAGGGACAAGGGAUUGGAGACUCGAGCUCAACCCAACUGCCCCUUGGACCCCGCCCAAUCCGAACCCAACAUGAGAUCAACAUUACUUUAUCGGAUUUCUCAUUUGCAAAGCGCUGAAGGACAUGAUUGAUCAGGACAAAACUAGGCAUAUUGAUUUGGUUUUUUGUUUUUCCUUUCUGCGGCUUGUAUUUUGCAUGUAUAUUUGUUACACUUGUGAUUUCAAUAUACUUUUCUUUAAUUCAGCAUUUGUCUCAAAGGAUAUCCAUUAAAAACAAGGAUUUAUUUAAAAACCUAGAAACUUUGAGAUGAUAACAGUAGCUGUGGAAGGGGAAAAAUUUAAAAUUUUAUAAUUUACCAUAUCUUCAAAUUUAAGUUAAUUAUGAACCAAUAAAAACGAUAUCUUUUUAAUUAAUUUAAAUUGUGACCAAUGAAAGACAUAAAAUUUCUAUUAAUAAAAUAAGGACAUGUGUAGCAUGCGCCCCACGGAAAGACCGGACAAAGUUGUCUUUCAUUUAAAUAAAGAAACAUAUACGUUUUGACGGUUAAAAUAUAAUUAUUAUAAUAAAUAAAAUGGUGAAUUUGAUAAUUGAAAAGAUAAUCAUCUAGUUUUAUUAAAAAAUAUAUAGAAGAAUGUCCAAUAUAAUCUUCUAAACCUCCUUACAUAUUAGUUUUAAUUAAAUAAUAAUAUUUUAAAGGAUCAAGACUACCAAAUGUUAACUUUAAUUAAGGGAUAAUAUUUUUAAGGAAUAAUAGAAAUAUUUAAAUUAAUUAAUGUGGUGUUUCCAAUCCCCUCAACAUGAUUAUGAGAUGGAAGUCCUAGAGUAAGAAGGCCUCUUAAUAAACUAGCCUAAUUGAUCACUCAUACGAGAGCUUCCCAACAUUCUAGCCAUGCAAAAUCUUUAUUUCAUCCGUGAUAUAUGACCACCCUGGUAAAAGAGUCAUAAAUUGUGUUAUAAUGAUCCAUCUACAAAAAGUGUUUAUAAAAAUUCCUGUUACUUGUGAGGUAUCGAAUAAAUGAAGUAACUACUUGAACUGGGUAACAUACAAAUUCCACUAACCUAUGAAAAGAGGCUUUUGUGAUAUUAUCCUCUUUUUUACAUUACGUGAGGGAGAGGGAACGUGCUCCCCUACUUGGAUUGGGAAUAACAUGAAUGUCCCGUUCAAGCCAAAGAGCUGACUCCCUCCUAAGAUUCCUAACAAAUGAUGAGUGGGACGAGAUAAAGUAUGAAGAAACCAUGAAACACUUAGUUGCCACCAAGGUUAGUGAGCCAACUUGUUAUGAAAGACAUGUUAGGGAUGAAUGGUUAAAAAAAGCUCUAGUAUAAAGAUCCUUGAUUAUGCAUAGAUGAAACCAUUUGUAUACCACCGCUGAUAAAGAUUGAAAUUAAGAGGCAACAUUUACUAGACAUGGGACUGCUCUUGUAGGAAUGAAUAGGCUGAAAGAUAAUUCUAUGCCCUGGAUUAUUAAGGUGCAUGUAAAACUAUUCUAGGAAUCUUUAGAUCUAUGCAACAAAAGCAUAAACAUAUAAAAACUAUAGACCUAAAUGCUCAAAAAAUAAUAUCUGUGGUUUGAAUGUUCUUGGAUCGAUUCUAGUUUGUGAAGAUGGUGAUUCUAACCUUGAAAACCUAGGGAUUUUUCGAUGACUCUUUUUCCUAGAUCCUAACAUGUGAGGAUUAUGGAAUCCUCUCUAUGGGGAUGAAAGUUAAGGUUCCUCUCUUUAGAAGAGUAAAUGAAAAGAUGCAAGAGUAUCUAACCUUAAACUCCUAAGGGGGUUUAUAUAGACUCUUUUGUGGGCUUAGGUGAUCACUUAAUCUAGUCUAUUAAGUUUUAAUUAAUUAAUUAGCCCUAUUAAACUUCAAUUAAUUAAUUAACAUCUUCAAAAAAAUCAUUCAUAAGCUUUUGUGCAACCUUGCAUACUAAAACGCUAUUAUGCACAUAUAUGAACCGAAAACCUAACUAUUCCUUAAAUAAUGUGUCACCUAGGAAUAUAAGUUAGAGCGGAAACACUGAGACCCAUAGGAAACUAUUGGCUCCCUUAGAAUCCAAUUGUAAAGUUGACUUAACUUCCAAUUACAAAGAGUCAAUUGCACUUCAAUGUUCUAUAAUAUUAAAUCGAGAUACAAAGCUCACGUCUGUGACUUUACUAACGACUAUAUUUAAACUUUCCAUGAACUAGUAUUUGUAAUCUAACAAGAUAGAUGUUAUCAACCUCUCAAGAUUAUUUUUAUGAUCCUUGAGUCUCAGGUCCUUCUAUUAUAUAAUCAAUUGACAUACUCUAACUUUAAAAAAGUAUGCCAAAUCCUAAUUAAGGAAUUACUACAACAUAGUUUUUAUGAUCAUAUUCUUAGAAUAACCCAAGGGGAUACAUUAUCUCAAACCCACGAGAUAUCAUAGUGUCUAUUUUGAGAAUACAUGUUACCCAUCUUUCUUAAGUAAUAGUGGCCCAAUACAAAGGAAAUGUGUGACCAUCUUAGGGUCUUAUUCAGAGGUCAAAGUCAUUGAAAACCUUAACAUUAGCUCAAUAUCAUCUUAGGUUAAGAGCCUUUAUAGUAUAGUAGCUUGGUGAGAUUAUGACUACUUGAUAGCUAAUGUUAUGUCUCACUAUAGGUCAUGCCCAAUGUGUAAUCAUAUACACUAAUACACUAACUAUGAGAAUCUUAUCCUAAUGACUAAGAUAAGUCAUCUUUUCAAUUAGAAGGUAGUGCACUACAACAUCAAAUAGAUUGUCUAAGUUUAUGAACCAGUUGUGAACAACUCUUCUAUUUUCAAGGAACCCAUAACAUGAAUUUUCCGUACAACUCCAAAAUGUACUUAAGUCAUGUCCAAUUUAAGUGAUGCAAGGCCUAAAUGCUCAAUAUAAACAAUGCAUGAAAAUGAUAGUAAAUGGAAAAUUGAAAUCAUAAUAUAAAAUUAAUUAAAAUUAUUUAUUGUUACAUUAUAUUAUGCUUUUAAGGGCUCUAUCCUAACAAUCUCUCACUAGCCCUUAAAGCAUCCUUGGAAUACAUCUAACACCUAUAUUAUCCCUAUGACCAUCAAAGACUUUGCUCGAUAAAGUCUUGAUGAAAGGAUCCAUCAAAUUCUUCACAUAAAGUAUCUUCUCUAUAGCUAUAUCAACUUUUUGCACUAUCUCACAAAUAAGGUGGUACUUUCUCUCAAUAUACUUACCUUUCUAGUGGUUCUUUAGUUUUUAAAAAUAUGUCACUACCCCAUUAUUAUCACAAAAUAAUGUCAUAAAUUGUACAAUUAAGGGAACUAUCCUAAGUCCCAUGAGAACUUCUUAGGCCAAAUGACUUUCUUUGUAGUUUUAAAAGCCAUAACAUAGUUGCCUUCCAUAGUGGAGUUAGCAAUGCAAAAUUGCUUCACAUUUUUCCAACUAAUAGUUGCACCACCUAGAAUGAACACAAAAACAGAAAUAGAUCUAAUUGAAAGUCUAAAUUUGUGUACUCAAUGGGUACCAACUCAUCGCUAUGGAACACAAACAUAAAAUCUCUCAUUCUCCUAAGAUACUUAAGUACAUGUUUGAUUGUUGUCCAAUGCUCUAGUUUUAGAUUAUAAAGCACAUGUAAUUAAUUACUGUAAAACAUAGGUCUAAUAUUUAUUUGGAUGCCCUAAUAUCAAGAACAAAAAUAUGGGGAUGUAUUGAUGAUAUAUCGUCAAUCAAGGAUUGAAAUUUCAGAUUUUAUCGGUGAUAUUUCGGAUAUCAGAUCGAUUUGAAACGAUUUUGAGUACCAAUUAUCGAACAAGAGAAAUUUCGGGAAAAUAUUGAAAAUAUUACCAAAAUAUCGGCGAUAUAUCGGUUUGGAAUCGAUAAAUUGGUGAUUAAAUAGGUCGUGGAGCGACGUGGGGAACAAUAGGGAUAAAUGGAAAAAAUCGAUGAUUUUUCAAGUUUUUUUUUGAAAAAUUUGAAAAUUCAUCUGACGAUCAGAUUUGAAUUUUUGAUGAUCCAAUGGCUCAGAUUUCACCCAUGUUUUAAAAUCAUCAUUUGAUUUUAUAUUAUCUUUUUAUUUUUUUAACACUUUUCAUAUUUAUCUCAUUAAUCCUAUUUUUUAAAAUUAUUAUCACUUCACUCUUACAUUUUUUUUUUAUAUUUAUCCUUUCAAUUUUAUUUAAUUUUAAAUGUUUUUAUUUUAAAAUAUUUAAAAUAUAAUUUUACCCAAAAAAUUGCUAUAAUAUAAAAAAUUAAGAAAGUUCUAAUAUUUUAUAAAUUAAAAUUAAUUUGAUAAGAUAAAUUAUUAAUAAUUUUAAUUAUUUAAAUAAAUUAAUGUUAAUGGAAAAAGUUGUUACCACAUAUUUUAAAUAAAAUUUUAGAAAUUAAAUAUCAAACAAAAUAUUUUAUAUAAAUUAAUUUAUUUUUUCAUUUAAAAUGUAAUAAAUAUUGUUUUCAACAAGAUGGACUCCCUUUAUUUAAUAAUAUGAUGAAACCACAUCGAUCUUCAUUUUGGUACUAAAAACUAUUACAAUGUCAUAUGUAUUAUGUUUAUGUAUAAAUUGUUUUUAUUCAAUAAAAUCAAAUAUUUCUUAACUCAAUUAUAAUUUUAUACACUUUCAAAAUUCAUAUUUAUUAUUCUUAAAAUCCAAGUAUUGAAUCAAUUGAUAUAUCUUUGCCUACCAAUGUUUUUUUUCUUGACCAUAUCUACGUCAAUUACACUUAUAAAAUAACUUUAAAAUGUGUAUUCUGACUUGUUUUAUCAUUUUUUUUGGAGUUUUUCGAAGUAUUCCUAUGAAUUUUGAAUAAUUUUCGCUCCACUGAUAUUUGUGAAAAAAUAUCCACCUCCGAUAUUUCCGAUAUAUCCGUAAAAUCAAAAUAUCGAUAUAUUUGUGAUUACUGAUAUUUUCAUCCUUACUGUCAAUACAUCGUGUAUUAAAGAAGAUGAAAAUGAUAUAUUGGUAAGAUAUAUCGAUUGACGAAAAUAUCAGAAUUUAUUGUGAAAAAUCAAUGACAAGUGAAAAAUUGGCACUAGAUGCCAAAAAUGGCCAAAAUUUUUAUGAUAUUUUGACAAAAAAUCGUUGAUUAAUUCAUGGAUAUUUCUACUGCAAUACGCUUGAUCUGAUGGCCCAGAUCAUGCAUGUGUUGAUCCAACGACCUAGAUCACGCCCGUGUUGAUCUAACAACCCAAAUCGUGCUUGUGUUUUUUAAACCUAAUGCAACAGUCAAAUGGGUGAUCCAAGGGCCAAGAUUAAAUCUGAGAGAUGAUCCAAUAGUUGGGAAGUGAUCCCAACGAAUAUUUGAUGAUCAAACAGUCAGAUUUUGCCUAAAUUUCGAUCCAACAACCAUAAAUGAUUUCUAAUGUUAAAAUCACUUUCCAAUAAUUAUUUUGACCAAAAUUUUUCUAUAAAUAGCUUAUUCUCAACCCAUUUCAUCCACAAUUCAUUCCAAAGUGUAUUGAUAUCUUUUUACUCAUAUAUAUAUAUAUAUAUAUUUUGUGAUUAUUCUCACAAUCUUAUAAAUUUGGGAAUUUAGUGCUCAAGUCUGUGGAUUAACUUCAAACCAAGGUUGCUUAAUUAUUGUAAGGUAUGUUUGUUUUAAUUUAAAUUAUUUUUAUGUUAAAUUUAAAUUAUUUAAUCAAUAGAAUUUAAGUUAUUUAUUUAAUUUUAAUAAUAGUUUAAUGUUAUUUUUUAAUACAUUAGUACAUCUUCAAUAGAUAUAUGUAAAUUAACUUAGGAUAGUUAUACAUAAGUUAGUUUUAAAUUUAUGAUUUAAUUUUAUUUUGAUAUUCAAAUGUAAUAAUAGCCCAUCAAUAAUAAAUUAACUUAGUACAUUUUUAAAUUAGUAUAACAUUGAAUUAAAAUUAGUACAUUUUUACAAUUAAUUAAUAUAUUUUCAAUAAAUUUAAGUAAAUUAACUUAGCAUAGUCAUACAUUUGAAUCACAUAAUUAUUACAUUUGCAAUAAGUUAGUUUUAAAUUAAUGAUUUAAUUUUAUUUUGAUAUUCAAGUGUAAUAAACUUUGUACAUUUUUAAAUUAGUAUAGCAUUGAAUUUAAAUUAGUACAUUUUUACAAUUAAUUAUUAUAUUUUCAAUAGAUUUAUAUAAAUUAACUUAAUAUAUAUAGUGAUACAUUUGAAUCACAUAAUUAGUACAUUUGUAAUAAUUUAGUUUUAAAUUAAUGAUUUAAUUUUAUUUUGAUAUUUGAUUCAUGCCCAGUCGGUGUCUCAGCUGGUUCAUGUCCAGCUGGUGCUCCUUGAUUGAGGUAGUAAUCAACAAAAUUUAUAACCUAUUACACCAUAAUCUAGGGUAGCAAAGACAAAGCUACUAUAGCAUAGUGACUCUAGGAUCGUUCACUGGGAAGAAUUUUCAACUCACAACUGAUACCAAUUCAAAGCUGAGUUGGUGCUUUUUCAUUUCAAGGUUAGCUUUAAAAGAAAACAUAAAAAUGUUUGAGUGAAAAGGGUUUGGUCUUAAACUAACCAAAAAGAAAGUAAUGGAAAUUACUUAUGAAGAAAAACAUUCCUUGGAGGUUUAGGUUCACAGGGAAGGUUGCUUAUGCAAAAACAGAGCUCCGACCAUUUGGUUCAUUUCCUCGUAUUAGAGAAUUAAUAUAUAGUCAAUUCUCUAAUCGGUGUUGUACAAAUGUAACCUUUAAAUGGAUUUCAGCUCUAAUUCCCUCUCACUAAUGCAACUUGUAAUGGCUCGUGCCUCUCACCUAGCAUUUGCCAUUGAAGGUGAUCUUUAACCUUGGACUUCCCUUCUCAAGCUCGCAAGAGAUAACUAAUGGAUGUCUCCUUAGAGUCCAAAAGUUUACCAAGUGUUGGCAAUUCUAGAAAAUCCUACCUCCAAGUCACUUCCCAAAAGCUUGCAAGAGAUAAACAAGUGCAUCUCCAUGGACGGAGAUCACUUGCCUUACCAAGUGUUGGCUCCAGUGACUUGAAGGUGUUUUAAGUUAACUAAAAACAUAGAAAUCAUUUAAGGAUCACACUUUCUCUCCAUUAAUGACUGAAACCAUAAAACUACUAAUUCUUGCACUUGGAACCUUUCCCGACAGCCUUAACUCCAAGGAACUAAAAGUCUAGCCACUCAUUCUCUGAGAAAACUUCCUCAGAGCUUGUUUGACUAGUAAGAAAACUAACGAGAAAACAAAUAUAUGAAGGAAAAACAGAGCAAGUGCUCUGUGAAAUAUAUUUCUUUUUUCCCUGAUUACAUAAUAGAUCCCUUUGUAAAGAACAUUACAAACUAUAUAUAUGAGGUUAUUCACCCUUUUUACUUACUUAAAGACUAAGGAAUCCUAUGAUAGGUGGAUUACAAGGAGAGUUUGGGGAUUUAGACAACAAAUAUCUAAAGCAAAAUAUCCCAAAAUAUCUUAAAAAUGUCGGUCGAAAAUAUCAAGAAGCUUUAGGAGAACACCGUUGCACUGUAUACUGAGAGAAAAACUCUACGGAAGAGCGUUAUCAGGGGAUCCAGAUAUGUCUAUCCGGAAAAGUUGAAGCGUCCUCCUCUCCUAUCCGGCUAUGAAAUAUCAGGAUGUAAAAUGUCAGCGCACGGAAUUUCGGAUAUGAAAUGUCGGCGGACGGAAUUCCAGAUGUGAAAUAUCCGGAGAAGGUGGAAAGUCGGCCGGAUAGAAUUCUUCCCCGGCUGGAAUGAGCUAUGCUGCGCAACGGGGACCGUCUGCGUGUGCAAGGUGUAGGGACCCCUCUCCCGGAUGACACGGAGUGCGCAAGGCUAUUCGGAUCAACUCCAUCCGGAUGAUAGCAUAUCCUAUCCGGAUAUGUUGUCCGGAUCAUUGACUUCCGCCGCCAUCCUGUUCGGACGCCCUGUCUGGACAUCUUUUACUCCUUGCGUUCCGAAUCUGCUUAUGGCAAAGGACUUCAAAGCUUCGGUUCUUCAUGUUUCUGAGCUUUCCAUUGCUUUGCCAUGGAUUCCAAAGAACUCUCCUUAAUCACGAAUUGCUUUGGUGAUCAAAAAGCUAUCAAAACACCAAAACUUAACACAAUUUGAUUAGAAUUGAUUGCAAGGGUCCUUAAUAUGUUAAUUGGGUUAAAAGGUGAUAACUACUACUCAAAAGUGUUUAAAAAAGUUUAUUACAAGCUAUGAAAUAACACUUUUUGAGUAGUAAUCAAUAUUCAAGUGUAAUAAUAACCAUUGUUUUAAAAACCGGACCUUCCGACUGGUCGAACCGUUGACCGAUGAACUUUCCGAUUUGGUCUAUCUCAAUGAACCGUUUCAUGGUCAAACUGACAUUGAACCAUUCAAACCGAUUGUUGAACUGUUGAACCGGACAAAUCAUUCGAUUUUUUACAAACCGACCAAACCUUAAUUGUUACAAAUAUUUGUUUACUAUUAAGAGGCCUAUUAUCCAUCAAACCCAUUUCAUGCCCAAUACUUUUAAAACUGAAACUAAUUAUAAGCCUAUUAUUUGGUCCAAGCCAUUAGGCUCAAUCCAAUAACAAAAAGGCUUAUAAAACUUAUAUUUGGGUCAUGCCUCUAGGCCAAAUUUGCUAGCAUGUUUGACUUACAAGGGAUGUUGAAGGUAUUUAUAGAGCACAUAGAAUUCAUGUGCUUCCGAUGUGGGACUGGGACUAAGACUAAUUAGAGGUAAAACAUUGCUUCUUGGAGGGCUGGACGGAUCUCUUAAAAAUUAAAGUUCGAAGUCUUUGAACCAUUGAGCAUUGCACCAUAUUUAUUAAAUGAUGUUGUUAAAAAAUAUAUAUAAUAAGAAUCUAAUAUUAAUGUUUUUAUUUAAAUUUUUUAUCAUAUAAAAUCUUUAAAGAAAUGUAAAUAUUUAAAUUCUUGUUUAUUUUUAUAAUAAUAAUUAUAAAAAAUAAUAUAAAUUAAUUAAUAGAAUAAUUUUAAAACAAUAAAAUACAAAGACAAAAAGAUAAAAUUAAAUAUUAUAAACUUUUUCGUCUUAAAUAUAUCUUCAUUCUUAAAUAUUACAUAUUUCUAUUUAAUAAAAUUUAAAAUAUUAAACUUUAUCAUUUAAUUUAAUAUACCAAAUAUAAAAAUCAAACAUUAUUAAAAAUUGUAAUUUUAUAUAUUUUUAAUUUUUUUAUAAUUAUUUUUAAUUUAUAUAAUAUAUAAAUAAAUAAUAUAUUUAUUACAUCAUUGGUUCAACCGCGGUUCGACUGUCUGUCCUAUUAGUGAACUGUGAACCGGUAAUUUUUUUGGUUCGAUGACCAGUCCGGUUCUGAAAACAUUGAUAAUAACCUACUGAAAAUAAAUUAACUUAAUACAUUUUUAAAUUAGUAGAACAUUGAAUUUAAAUUAGUAUAUUUUUACAAUUAAUUGUUGUAUUUUCAAUAGAUUUAAGUAAAUUAACUUAGCAUAGUUAUAUAUUUGAAUCACAUAAUUAGUACAUUUAUAAUAAUUUAGUUUUAAAUUUAUGAUUUAAUUUUAUUUUGAUAUUUAAGUGUAAUAAUAGCCUAUUGAGAAUAAAUUAACUUAGUACUUUUUUAAAUUAGUAUAUCAUUGAAUUUAAAUUAGUACAUUUUUAUAAUCAAUUAGUAUAUUUUCAAUAGAUUUAAGUAAAUUAACUUAACAUAGUUCUAAGUUUGAAUCACAUAAUUAGUAAAUUUCCAAUAAGUGGAUGAAAUUAAUGAUUUAAUUUUAGUAUUUUGUAUUAUUAAUAGCAUUAAACUUAAAUUACUUCAAUUUGAUGUUAUGCAUAGUUCACUUUCAAUUGCAAUUGAAUUUAAUAUUAGUUUUAUAUUCAAGUUAAAUUAUAGUCAAUUGUAUGCUCAAUUUCUUUUAUUUUUAAAUCACAUAAUUAGUUCAUUAAAUUAAUGGUAUAAUGUUUCAAGUUGAAGAGAAUGACUAGCGAAAGUGGAAAUGUAGGUGAGGUAGCAUAGUAGGAUGAGAUCUAGCUUGGAAGCAUUGUACACCGGUGGAAGGAAAUAUAAAUGAGACAAUUUGUAACUACUGUGAACUGUUGAUGAAGAGUGGAGGCAUUACUCAAUUCAAGUUCCAUUUAUCAUAUACAAGCCCAUAUUCGAACACCAAAAAGUGUCUUAGAGUGCCCCCCAAAGUGAAAAAAGAGAUAUGAGAUCUUUUGCAUAAAAAAAACCAAAGCAAAGAAAUCUAUAGAUAUAAAAAACAUUCGUGCUCAAUUAUGUAACACAAUGAGGGGUAGCCAUAAACAUGUCAUAGACGAGGAUGAUGAUAAUGAUGAUGAUGAAGAUGUGUAAAUGUAUUUGAUAGUAUACACCCUGAUGAACGAGAUGCUUGGUGAGCUGCAAUUCAUGCCUUGAAAGCGACAAAAUGAGAUCGAUAACAACAUGAAACGUUUGUGGGAAGCAAACGUAAAAUAAGGGAAUCAUCACAUCCUAGUGAUGUACCAAGGCCGAUGUGGAAAUCACAUAGUAUGCGACAUUCGAAACCAUCACCGCCUAUUAUCCCCUCGCUAUAUGAGUCUUCUACAACAAGACAAAGAAAUAUCAAAGAUUUAUUUAAAUGUGGUUUCAUUAAAGAGAUGAUGGGAUACUUAAUAAGCAAAUUCUUCAUUUAUGAGAGCAUCACACCCUACAAAGCAAACUCUCACCACUUUAAGAAUAUGAUUAUCGGUGCACAACAAGCAGGUAAUUGUUAAUUACUCUAUUUUUAUAUCAUUUAAGUGUACUAUUUUGUGACAUGUUUUAAAUAUUUCUUACAUAUGAAUUGCAAGAAUAUGAAUCAAACCUUCAUUUCCAUAUGAAAUAAAGAACAAGUACUUCAAAAUGGAGUAUAGCGAAAUGGAAGCUUAUGUGAACCAACAAAGAGAAAAAUGGAAAACUUAUGGGUGCACAAUAAUGUUCGAUAGAUGGAUAGAGUCAACAAAAUUAAGUAUAAUUAAUUUCAUGAUGUAUUCAAAAGGGACUAAAGUCUUUUUUAAAUUAGUCGAUGCAUCCAACAUAUAUAUAUAUAUAUAUAUAUAUAUAUAUAUAUAUAUAUAUAUAUAUAUAUAUAUAUAUAUAUAUAUAUAUAUGAGUUGUUGAAGAGUGUUAUCAAAUAUGUUGGGGAAGAAAACAUAGUCCAACUUGUCACAGAUAAUGGGUUGAUGUUCGUGAAAGCAGGGAAGCUGUUUAUAAAAAAGUUUUACAUAUACUAAACUUCAUAUGCAACACACUGCAUUGACUUAAUGUUUGAAGACAUCGACAAAAGACCAAAUGUUGUAAAAGUGAUAAGCAAUGCCUGUAAGAUAACCAACUUCAUUUACAAUUAUAAUUGGUUACUUGCAUAAAUGAGAAAGUUUUGUGGUAGAGGCAUUUUUCGACCUGGAGCUAUGAGGUUUGCCACCAAUUAUAUUGCUCUUGACAACCUUAUGAAAAAAAAGGUUAAUUUGAAAAAAUUGUUUAUGAGUGAUGAAUAAACACAACACAAGCUUAGUUAGAAAAAAAUCAGACAAGAAAUGAAGAAAUUAAUGUUCGACCAUCCAUAUUGGGACAAAAUGGCAAAAGUAGUUUCAUUAUAUGAGCCAUUGUAUGUGGUACUUUGACUCGUAGAUUUAAAAGUUGUUUCCACCAUGCCUUUUAUGUAUGAGCUUAUGCAAGUGAUGAAAUAAAAUCUCAUUUGUCUACAUGUUAGAGAAUGGAUGUUCUAAAUAAUCAAAGGUCGUUGGAAAAAAACACUCAAACAUCCACUUGAUGCAGCAAGUAAUUAAGUACUAUUUAUCUUCAUAAGUUAUUAGUUUUGAUUUAUAUAAUUUUCUCUUACAAAAUACUAACUCUACUUAAUUUUGUUGUAGUAUUCUUCUUAAAUUCAAGGUUUUAAUACAGGAGUGGAGUUGGCAGCGAUCCCGAGCUACUUUAAGAGGUCAAUGAAGUUUUUGCUAAAUUAGUCCCAAUAGUUGAAACGUUUGGUCAAUUUGGAAAUGAGGUAAACUAAAAACUGUUAUAUUACCCAAUUUAAUUAAACAAUAAUUUUAUUCAUCAAUCCAUUUCAAUAUUUACUAAAAAUAUGAUAUUGAUAUAUUGAAUAUUGAAUACAUAACUUAUGCUUUUUCAAGAUGCAAAGAGAGGAUUCAAUGAUUGAGCGACGAUUGCAGCAAGGUCAACUAUAGUCCCCGGUGAGUACUAUUUCUUAACAGAAAACUAAAUUGAUUAUUAUUAUCAUAAAUUUACAACACAAGUAUUUAUAUAAUUAUGGAUUUGGUUAUAGCUGAAUGGUGGUUUAUAUAUGGAAACAAUACGCCUAUAUUGAGGAAGUUAGUCAUCAAAGUUCUUUUCACAAACUACAUCAUCUUCUGCUUGUGAGAGAAAUUGGAGCACAUUUGCUCUCAUCCACAUGAUUGCAACAAUUAGUUUUUUUUUAUUAUUAUAACAUAAAAAUAAAGCUACGCGAUAUGGAGAUAGAAAAUGAUAAAGUUGUUAAGAAAGAUUACCUUGAACUUCUUCACAUUUCAGUCAAGGUAAGUGAAGAAGAGGAUAAUCAACUAUUCCAAUGAAUCAAAUCUCUAUACUUAGAUUAUGACGAUGAAAAUCUUGAACCACGAAUUGCCACUUAUGCUUGAGAAUUUGGUGUUAAUGUUGAAUGAGUGUUUUUUUGAAGAAGUUUAUAGUGAGAGUUUAGUAAAGACAUUAAGGAUUCAUUUGAGGCAACAUUGAAUUCCCAACGUUCGAUUGACUCCAUAAGUGUUGGGGAAAGUAGUAGACUUAGCGUUGCUGGUAUUUAUGCUUUUGACUACAAUGGUUCAAGAGGUGAAACUGAUGAUGAAAGUGAUAAUGUGAGAAAUGAUGGAGGAGAUUUUGUGAAACAACAACAAAGUCAAUAUCCAAUGAGCCAAUUCACUUGUGAAAAUGAUUUCAUGUACUACACACAAGAUGAAGACCAUGACUCUAGAAGAAUUGGACUAGACAUAUAAGCUAUUGCGAAGUUGUACAUAGGAAGAGAAUGAAUGAUGACACCAUUUAACAAGGAGUCAUUUUCAGCCCAUUUUGAGUCUAUGAGUAUAGAGACUCAAUUUAGUGACUCAUCAAAUGAGGCUAACGUUUACCUUCCUUAUGUGAAGGGUUAUGGUCAAUCUUCUCAAAAUUAUGUGAUGGGCUCAAGUUCAACCGAUGAAAAGUAUGGUAUGUUUAGCUAUUCUCCUUUCUACACAAAUGUCAUACCACAUUCCAUAUCAGAUACAAGAACGAUUUGACACGAGCACAUGGAUGAACCUUGAAUAUCCUAUCCAUGUAGAGGCAGUGGGUAGGACUUAAGAUAUCUAUGCGUGGUAUGUUUGGAUUUUUAAUCAAUAAUAUUGAGGUUCAGUGAGUUAGUACAAUAUUGUCUCCAACAACAAGAUGAUAUUCCUUCAUCUACCAAUUCCAUUGAACCACAUCGAUUAUCAUUUUGGUACUAAAAGGGAGAUUACAAUGUAAUAUGUACAAAUUAUCGAUAUUUAAUGAAAUCAAAUCUUUCAUGUAGCUUCAUAACGAGUGUAUACUUACAAAAUUCACAUUUCUUAUUAAUCGAUACGAUAUAAUUAAAUUUAAUAUCACAAAUCAUAUCAUACAUAUAUUAAUUUCUCCAACAAAACAACUUUAAAAUGUCAAUUAUACUUCUAAUUUCAUUUCUAAAAGUUUUUUUUUUACAUUACCAUGAGUUUUGAUCAAUUUUUAGCCCACCAAUAUUUUGUUUCAAAAUAUCCAUCGAUAUGACCAAGUCCAUUAAGCUUGGGGCCAAACCUAUAAUUUGGGCAACCUCAUUAUUGACAUCAAGAAUAAGUGAUUGGGCACUAUGGUAGGCCAUUGGUUCUGUUUUUUUUUUUUUUUUGAAAGGUCACAAACUAUUGGAUGAAGGAAGUUUUUUCCUUGCAUCCAAAAGAUGCUAAUUAAGUCUCUCAAGUCUUAAUAGUUAGGUAUGACCAUAGACCUUAUUAUAUGAAACUUCUACAAUGAUUGAUUAGUUCUCACAUGAAUAAACUUUUAAGGUAUCAAAUUAGUAUUUACCAAACAUUUAAUUUGGAUCAUUUAAAGCGUAUGGUAAGAUCUAAGUCACUAAAUGAAGGCACCAAUAAUAUGACCAAAUAAAAAAUAAUAAAAAAUCAAAAUACAAAACAAUAGGAUCAAAAUACAAAAAAAAAAAAAAAAAAAAAACAAAAAAUAAUAGAACCGAACUUAAUAGAAAAUAAUGAGAUCUAAAGGCACAAAUGACAUGACUUGAUUGAUCAGACAUUUUAUAUAGGUGUGUGUCUAGAAAGGUGGGAAAAGUUUGGGGUAGAGUUGAAUCUAAGUGUUGGUUAGGUAAACAUCUUAUAAUAGGAGUAGUUAUGAACUUUAUGAAGCAUCCCCAUGGGGAUGGUGAGGAGAGAGUAUAUAUAAAAUAUCAUAGAUUAUCCUACACUUGGAAGAUGAAGUAUAAAAAUGAAUAAAUAUAGCUAUAAUUUGAUUCUUCGUCAAUAAUACUUUAAAGUUACAUAAUCUAUUUAAUUUUUUUGUUAAAAAAAAAACCCACAACGGGUAUACUACACACUUGGAACAUGAAGUAGAAAAAUGAAUAAAUAUAAAUAUAAUUUGAUCCUUCGUCAAUAAUACUUUAAAGUUACAUAAUCUAUUUAAUUUUUUUUAAUGAUUAAUUAAUAAGGAAACAAUUUUUUAUUUGAUCUUUAGGUUUUUUAUUAUUUAAUAUUAUUGAUAAUCUUGUUUAGUAAUAAUUUGACAAUCAAUUUAGGUCUCUUCGCGAUCGGCUCCCCCGUUACCUGGUAAUAAGGAUCGUUAUUCUUUAUCUCUUGAGUGUGAUUCUUGCAAACUUGGUAAAAGUAAAACUCUUCCCUUCCCUUUGCAUGCAAGUAGAGCAUCUCACUGCUUUGAUCUUAUCCAUAGUGAUGUUUGGGGACCUUCCCCGGUUAGUUCACAUGAGAAAUUUAAAUAUUAUGUGACUUUCAUUGAUGACCAUAGCAGAUUUACUUGGGUCUACUUUCUUUGCUCUAAAUCUGAGGUCUUUCGUACUUUCACUGAGUUUUUAGCGUAUGUUGACAAUCAAUUUUCUACUUCUAUUAAGACAUUACACACAGAUUCUGAUGGUGAGUAUUUGUCUACUGAGUUUCAAGCAUUCUUGGCUUCUAAGGGUAUUAUUCGGCCAUUCACACAAUAUUUUGACGUGAAGAGUGGGCAAACAUGAGAUAUUUUGGGAACCCAAUAAUUGUAUUUGGUUAUGUCCUUUGUAAUGUUUUGGUUCUGUCAUUUGUAAUGUUCUCUAUUGUAUAGUGAAAUAAUUCUCUUUCAUUCGUGGACGUAAGUAUGAUUGGCCGAAUCACGUUAAAACCUUGUAUACCAUUUGUGUUGAUUAAUUUAUCUUUGUGUUCUUGAUUAACGAUGAUUGCAUCAAAGCUUCUGCCAUCACAACAAUUAAUCUCUAUUGUUUGAAAGCACACAAAUCAACUUAUUCUUUAAAAAAUGUCUAGAUAUUUUAUUAUUAAGGAAUAUGAUAUUUGCUCUAUAUUAUUGUUUUCUAUGUUGUAUUAUUUAAUUAUCUUAAUUAUAAUAAUUUAAAUUUAAAAGUCUAUUUAAAUAUUUUUUUAUUAUGAUUAAUUAGAAAAUAAUUUUUAUUUCAUUUCCUGGUUUAUUCUUAUUUAAUAUUAAUUGGUAAUCUUUUUUAGUAAUAAGUUGAACUAAAUAAUAAAAAUUAAUUAGAAUAAAUUACUAAAUGACUUUUUAUUCUAUAUUUAUGUUUUAUAUUAUUAUUAUUUUUAUUUUAAUUAACAAUAAUCUAAAGUCACAUAAACUAUUUAAAAUUUAAACAGUAACUUUGUUAUAACAAUAAUAAUAAUAAGCAAUCUGAAAACAAAUUAGUUUCUUUGGAGGAUUAAAGAACUUAUUAAUUUUUAUUAAAAAUAAAUAAAUCUAUACCUUUUUAAAAAAAAAAAACUAUUUUAAAUAAUAUUAUAUAUAUAUAUAAAUUCCUUUUCUAAAUAUUCUUUUUAAUCUUAUCUUCUAUUUAGUCAACCCCAGAGGUAAGGAAGAUUCCCUCCUCAUUUUUUUUUUGUUUAUUAUUUUAUUCUAUCAUAUUCUAAAACCCUAAGAAGAUCAAUCUCCCUUUUUUAUUUGAUUCUUUCAUAAUGUUUGACCCCGACAGAUAGAGAUAAGACAAUUCCAUGAUUUAAAAGUAAAUGAUAAACUAGCAAAUUUAGCUUUAAAUUCUAUAAGAAUGAUAAAAUUUAUUGUUCAAAUCAAAUUAUUUUCAAUUUUAAUAAAUUAUAUAUAUAAAUAUAAUGUGACUUUUUACUUAACAUUUAUCCCAACUAUUUUCUUCAAUAAAUUUCAAUAAACCGAAAAAAUCUAAAUAAAAUUUAGAAAAUUCAUAAUAUUUUAAUUUAUGCAUACAAUUUAUAAGAUAAAAUAUAAACAUAAUAAAUACACAACUUAAGUAAAUUAUAAACUAUAAAGUUUAGCUUUAAAUUUCUAUAAGAAGUAUAAAAUUAUUCUUCAAAUAAUUUUUUUUUUGAAUUUAAUAAAUUAUAAAUAUGAUAUGCAUUCUUACUUAAUAUUUCUCCUAAGCAUUUCAUGAAAUAAAUUUGAAAGACCCAAAAAAUCUAAAUAAGAUUUAUUAUAUUUGACUUUGUACUUACAAUUUAUGUCAUAAAUAUUUAAAAGAAUAUAAACACAAUAUAAAUUCUUUAUUGACCACUAUUUUUUAUUCUACUUUUAAAAUUAAUUUUUAUUUUUCUAAAUUUAAUAUUGAUACUAUUAGAAAAUAAAAAUAUGAUACAUGUUAUAGUUUCAAUUUUGGUGUUAUUUUUUAGAGUAUCAAUAGAUUAUAAAAUUUUUGAUAAAUCAAAAUUAUAAGGAUCGUUACUAAAACAUGUUGACUAUCGUGAUUAUGUUUUAAAAGCAAAGGUAGUUAGAUUUUUAUGAUAUCGAUUUCCUAAUUUAGAAAGUAGUAGCUACCUAGCAUCGAAUAAAAUUAAAGUAAAUAACAAAUAACAUAGAGAAAAAUAAUUUUGUCUACCUCAAUCACACUAAUAGUUUAUUUUUGUCUAAGAUAAUAGACUAUUAUACAUAAGUAUAAAAUUAAUUUAGGUAUAUUUGUAUUAUAUAACAUGAGUAAAUUCUUUAAGACAUAAAUAAAUGAAUAAUAUACAUUAUUAAGCUUAUUUAGUAAAAAUAUAAUAAAUAAAUAAAAUAAAAUAAAAUUUUCUUUUUAAAAUACAAGCAUCAUAUUUAAGAGUGCAUUUUACGAUACUUUUAUUUAAAGUGUUUUUAGUAAAAAUAUUUUAAAAGAAAAUAUUUAAAAAAAAUCACGUAUUAAUUAUUUAUCUAGAAAAAAAUAUUAUAAAUAAUUUUUUAAUUUUUAAAAGUAUUUUUUAAAAUUUGUUAAAUACAUAACUUAUUUUAAAAAAUAUAUUUUUUAAAUUAAAAACUCUUUCUAAAAUUACUUUGAAACGAGAUAUAAUUCACAUAUAAACUACCUUUUUCCUUUCUGUGCGUGCAACUAUCCUAGUACUCCUUCAAAAUUGGUGGUCUUUCGUGACUCCGUUGAGAAAAUUCUCUCUUCCGCUGUAGUCAAGAUGUAGCCCCCCCAACACGCGUCGAUUUUGCCUUUUCUGAUAGGCUACACAGUCCCACAAGAAAGCUGUGUGGUGGCAUUGAAGAGGUCAACUUGCUUGAUAUUCGUCUCCUUCAUAUAUUCAACCUUCCCCCUUGGGGAAAAUAAAGAAAGCCUCUCUCUCUCUAUUUCCCUUUCUCCUUUUGUCGACAUCUUGUUUAAGUCGAGGCAGUGGCGAGAGGUUUCUGCAGACACUCUGGUGAAUUUGCGGUGAGUUGUGUUCAUUGAUCAACACUCAGCAUCCCUCAACUGGACGCUAGUGUUGUAAUUCGGAGUUUUUUUGGAGGUAUUUUGAGAGCUGAGCACCAGCAGAAAAGGGACUUUGAUCCAUGGCUGAAGAACUUAAAGAUCGUAGUUUGACGGAAACGCCUACUUGGGCUGUUGCAGUGGUCUGUUUUGUGUUGCUUGCUGUUUCGAUCUUCAUCGAACAUAUUAUUCAUCAUAUUGGAUCGGUAAGGCUGCUUAAAUAGUAGUUUGCUUUGUUGGAGAACUCCAUGGAUGCUGCUCAUCAUUCAUCAAAUACUUUUCUUGGUGAUGAUAUCCAUGGAAACAUUGUCUCUUUCUUUCUUUUUUCCUGGAAAUUUGCAUUGAAUUCACCUGUGGCCCAGCUAUUGAUUUCUCUACUGCAAGAAAGGAAAACAAUAAAUGAUGGCGUGUAUUUCCUUCCUAACUUUGGGUUUUGGAUAUUUCUUGCUUUUAAUGUUCCAAUAUAUUUUCAAUAGAACAGGUGAAGUCCUGAAAACAGUAAAAAUUGGCAGCUAGUGUCAAAAUAUGCAUUAAAAAAACUCAAAAAAUAAGCACUUAAUUUUCAAAAAAAUUAGUAUAGAUAAAAGAGUAGGUGGAUAGAGUAAGAGAAAUUAAAAUUUCAUAUUCACGAGUGGAUUUGAUUCUGAUCAGUUCUGAGUUCAAUUGCAGUGGUUAGCAAGAAGAAACAAGCGAGCCCUUUAUGAAGCUCUGGAAAAGAUCAAAGCAGGUGACUCUUUUGGCUUCUUCUCAUUGAGAAUAGUUCUUUCAUAAUAUCACUGCUAUAUAUAUAUAUCCAAGGUCUAACCAUUUUCUAUCUUGGUUUGUGGUGUGAAGAGCUUAUGCUGUUGGGAUUCAUGUCCUUGCUGCUUACAGUAUUACAAACUCCCAUUUCAAAGAUAUGCAUUUCUAAGAGUGUUGGAUCCACUUGGUACCCUUGUGAUGUUGAUGAGAAAGAAUUUAAAAACACAUGCGGCACUGAAGUAAGUUCAUAAAAUUUCUAUCUUACAUAUAUGAAUCCUUCUGAAUUCCAGAAAUAUUGACUGAAAAGGUGUUUCCCACCCUCUUUUUCAGUCAGGAAAAGUCCCAUUUGUGUCUUACUAUGGGAUCCAUCAGCUCCAUAUAUUUAUCUUUGUGCUAGCUCUCUUUCAUGUGAUCUACUGCGUGGCCACCUUGGCUUUGGGAACAUACAAGGUAUACAUCAAUAUACACACACAAUAUCAGCAUAUAUAGUUUGUCAAUUUCUCAGUUUGUUUGUGUCUAUGGUUAUUGGAUGCUUGUUUCUUGGAUUGCAGAUGAGAAGAUGGAAGACUUGGGAGGAUGAAACUAGGACAGCUGAAUAUCAAUACUCUCAUGGUAAUUAAAGUCUCUAGCUAUCCUGGGACCCUUAUCUUAUCUAUGGUUGGCCAACUCGUAUGGUUCCCACUUGGUCUGAAAGUCAUCAUCACUUAUCCACAUCCUUAAAUAUAACAUAUUUUAGAGACACUUGGAAGUCUUUUAUUGAAAAAAAUGGACCGACUUUUGUGCUAACGUACACAUUUUGAAGAGGUUAUAUAGAAAAUUAUUAUGUUUUCAAAUAAAGAAAAACAUCACAUACUUUUUUUUUGUACUUUAUUUUAUGGCCCAUGUGACACUUUGAUUACGUUGUGUUGUUGCAGAUCCAGAGAGGUUUAGGUAUGCAAGGGAAACAUCCUUUGGGCGCAGGCAUUUGAAUUUCUGGAGCAGCUCUCCUGUUCUCCUAUGGAUUGUAAGAUUUUUUCUCCAUUUUCUCGGGAAAAUGAAAAUCACAAUUGGCAAUUGUUAUUGAAAAUAUAACAACCUUCUAUAUAACCCUCUUUUUUUCUUUUCUUUUUCCAUUCCAUCAGGUGUGCUUCUUUAGACAAUUCUACGGAUCGGUUCACAGAGAUGAUUAUCUUGCUUUAAGACAUGGAUUUAUCGUGGUAAGUUGAACAUAUGAAUAUAUAAACCAAGUUGAGCACACUCAAGAAAGAAUCCCAAACCCAAAUUGAUCUACCAAUUGAUUCUCAGGCACAUUUGCCACCCGAAAGCGAAAGAAAAUUUGACUUCCGGAAGUACAUCCACAGAUCACUUGAAGAGGACUUCAAAGCUGUAGUGGGCAUCAGGUUGGUCCUCUCUAUAUACACUUGGAAUUUUAAGUCCCGUUUGCUAACUAUUUUUUAAAACACUCCUUAUUUCUUUAGGAGAAAAAAAAUUGAAAACCACUUUCCCAACUAGAAAACAAAAGAAGAUUUUGUUCUUAAAAAAAAAAAAAAAAAAAAAAGAGUAUUUAGAAAAAACAUUUUUUUUACAAUUAUUUUCAUGAUUUGUUUUGUAAGUAUUAUUAAAAAUUAUUUUUAAAAUAUAGAAAAUAAGUUAGAAAUAUUUUAGGCUUUCAAAAGUUCUUGUCUAAUAAAACAUAAAAUAGCUUUCAAAAACUAUUUUUUAGAACCAUUUUUCAGAACACUUUUCAAAGAGAGCCUUGUUUCCUUGUUUAUAUCUCUUAUCUUACCACCAUGGGGCAUAUGCCCUUUAUCUUUUGUGCAGCCCAGUAAUAUGGUUCUGUGCAAUAUUGUUCCUACUCACCAACACACAUGGUAAGCUUAAUCCUCGUACCAUUCUUUGGUAGCUAGUUACAGUUGGUCGUGACUUUAAGGCCAUGAGACCGAGAAAUUUUCUGUUGUUUUUGGGCAGGGUGGUAUUCUUACUUUUGGCUUCCAUUCAUCCCCUUAAUUGUAAGCACAAUUUCAUUACAAUACUUCAUUUCUCCAGAAUUGGUUUUCAGUUUUCACAUAUAUGAUUUUGGGUUGAGGGCAAUAAGGAUGACAAGUUUGGUUGAAUCAAUGUGAAUGUUGCAGAUACUGCUCUUGGUGGGAACAAAGCUACAAGUGAUAAUAACUGAAUUGGGAUUGAGGAUUGCAGAGAGAGGUGUUGUGGUGAAGGGUACACCAAUAGUUGAGCCAGGCGACCACCUCUUUUGGUUCAAUCGCCCCAGCCUCAUGCUCUUUCUGAUCAACUUCGUUCUCUUUCUGGUAUUUCUCAGUUAUAUCCACUCUAUUUACCUUUCUUUGAUCCCAUGGUGGCUCAUAUAAUACUAUGGUACAUUCUAACUAUUUCUAUGCUACUUGUGUCUUGUUUCUUAAAUCACAGAAUGCAUUUCAGCUGGCUUUCUUUGCAUGGAGCACGGUGAGCAAAGCAAUCGACUCAAACCUCACUCUUUUCUUCCCCCUCCUCUUUGCAGUGUCUCAUGGCUUUUGUUUUUCUUUUCUGAUCUUUCAGUAUGGGUUGAAAUCUUGCUAUCAUGACACUACUGAAGAUUAUGUCAUCAGAAUCACAAUGGGGUGAGUUUCAUCAGAACGAUACAACCUGCAUAUACUAAGGAGCAAUUUCUGAUUCUGUGUGUUGUUGAUUUGUUCAGGGUCAUGACACAGGUACUGUGCAGUUAUGUGACACUCCCACUCUAUGCCUUAGUGACACAGGUAAGAAAUGAUUCAAAUGAAAAUUCUGGCUUAAUCACAUAUAGUUUUUGAAGAUUAAAUAAGAAGUAAUGAGAUUUUUCUUGAUAUAUACAGAUGGGCACCACCAUGAGAUCGACUGUUUUUAAUGACAAAGUAGCCGUGGCUCUAAGAGACUGGCACGAUACGGCCAGAAAGCACACAAGACACGGGCACUCGGAUGGUGUGUCCCCACAGUCAAGUAGGCCAUCGACCCCAUCAAAUGGGAUGUCCCCAGUUCAUCUGUUGCAAAGCUACGACAACAACACUCCUGAUAUGUCUCCAGUGGCAUCAAACUACGACAACGAACGGUGGUAUGGAGAAGGAUCAGGGUCUCUAGGGAAGAAGGAUGAUGAUGAGCAAAGGCCAGAGAAUUUUGAAUCGAGAGAGCCGGGACGAGGGACUCAAGACUCAAGCUCAGCCCAAUUGGCCCUGGGACCCCUCCCCAUUCAAACUCAACAUGAGGUCAACAUCACUUCAUCAGAGUUCUCAUUUCGUAGGAGCCCAAGGAGCCCAAGGCCAUGACUUCGAUGAUGCGAAGGAUGAUUAAUUGAGGACAAAACUCCGCGUAUUGAUUUGGUAUUUUGUUUUUCGUUUCUGCAGUUUGUAUUUUGCAUGUACAUUUGUUACACUUGUAAUUCAAUUUAUGUUUCUUCAAUUCAGCGUUUGUCUAAGGUGGUAUUUGUUUUCUUACUUAAUUCUAAAUAGAACCUUAAUGCUUAAUAGUGUUAAAUAUUAAGUUGUUCGUUUUUGUAGUAUUAAGCAUUAAAAAGUAAAAAAAAACUAAUAUGUUAUUUUUACUAUUUAGAAAAAAAUUAUAUAUUUUAGUUUUUUCUAUUUAGUAAAAAAUUUAUAAGAAAUCAUAAAAAAAAAUAGAAAAACAAACAACUUAAAUUCUAAAAACAAAUUGCUUUAAGCAAAAAGUCAAAAAAACAAACACCACAUAAAAGGAUGGAUAUCCAUUAAAAGCAAGGUUUUGCUUAAAAACCUAGUCCUUCAAAUGCUUAAAGUUGUAUAAUAAACACUCUUUAAAUAAAGCUUUAGGAUGCCUAACUUAUAAAUUUGAUGUAAUUGAGUUCAAAUAUACAACUUCAUUGUAAAUUUAAGACAUAUCAAAUCAACCAUGAAACUUGUUAAACUAUUUUUCUUUUACCGUAUAAUAUUGGGAUAUUUGAUUAAAAUGGACGAAAUAAUUUUUAAAUUGCAAAUCUAACACUAGAAUUCUUUUAAUUUAAAAAAUAACCCAUUCUUGACAAAAAUAUUCUUCUACCCAUUUCUAACCCUUUAGCCCAUUGUAGAUAAAAGGUUUUUCAUUUCAAAGGUUGUGAAAGAGAGCACGAAACCAACAUCAGAGAAAACACAAAGCAAGGUUUCAUGGUAUCCUUCAUUUUAGAUAACUUUUAUGAGCUUUAGCCUAUUUCUUUUUGUUCUAUAAAGGUUUCAAAAUACUUUUCCAUUUUACUAAUAUUGUGAGUUGGCUCAGUUUAUGAAAAUGGGGCAAGAAUGAGAUUCUUUGAUGAAGAUCAAAGCGGUAUAAAACACAAGCAAGAAAACCAAGUGAGAGGAAACAAGGCUUAAUUUGAAAACCUUUUAUCAUCAUCAAAAGAUGAUAACAAAUCAAUUGGAACAAUCAACAUCAAUUUGAAAAUUGAAAUUUCUUUUUUAUGAAUUUAUUUAUUAUGAAUUAAUAAUAUAAUUGAAUAAAAAAUUUAUGGAUUUAUUUUAUCUAAAUUUUUGGAAUUUUGAUUUAAAUACAUUAAAUACUCGAUAUUUGAUUAGGGCUAAGUUUCCUACUUGACAUGCAAAAAGUUUUAGAAUUAGAGAUUUUUUAUGUCGUAAGAUUAUCAAAUUUAUUUGGAUUGGUAUAUCGUUAGAACUUUGAAGAUUUAGUUGAAUUAAAAUUUUGUUGGAGUACUUUAUCAUUGUUAGGUUUACUAAUUGCCUUUUAUUUAAAUAUGUAAAGAAUUUAGGGAUUAAAAUAUGUUGACUUAUAUAUAAUUAUAUUUCAUUAAAUUAAAUGAUAAACAAUAUUAGUUAUGAUAAUUUGUCUAAAUUUUUUAUGCUUAUAAAAUUAUAAUAAGUAACAAAUAAUUUAUAUAUGAAGGUACACUUUAGGAAUAUAAAAUCAUGGGUUAUAAUUGCUAAUUUCUAACAUGAGAUAAUGGAUUCAACAUAGUUGGACAAGUUUGUUAAUAUACUAUUACACAAUUCAUACUGAUAUUUUUAUGAAUUUCUAUUCUCUUGCAUAUUAACAUUCAUCCUCCCAUCACCAUCUUGUUCUACUAUAACACAAAAGAGGAGUACUUUCCGUGAAAAAAUGCGUACUUAUCCCACUUAGUAGUCGUUGAGAGGAAGUGGAUGGACCAAGAUAGACAUGAGAGGGUGGAGAUGGAGAUGAAGUAGAAGAAAGGGUGGAAGAAGGAAAGGAAGUUGGAUAUAUAAGGAAGACAGGAGCAUGGAAGGGAAAAUGUAGAGGGAGCGGUAGAAUCAGAAAAUAGAAGUAGUUUUAAGUGGCAAAGUAGAUUUAUUGAAAACCACAUGCCUAUGUACAGGUGACCAGUAAGUGGAUGGACUCGGAUAGACAUGUGAGAGGGUGGAGGUGGAGAUGAAGUAAAAGAAAGGGUGGAGGAAGGAAAGGAAGUUGGAUAAGGAAAAAAAAGUAUGGAAGGGAAUAUAUAUAUAUAGUAGAUCUAGGGAGCAGUAGAAUUAGAAAUAGAAGUUUUAAAUGGCAAAGCAAAUUCAUUGAAAACCACAUGCCUUUAUAUAUAUAUAUCAAGGCAUUAUUACUUAGAAAGGGAAAAUAGGCACAACAAGAUACUCAUAGAGAGGAAUAUGAAGGAGGCCUUUGAUAGAGGGUUAAGGUCAUUUAUGAUCAAGGACAAAAGUAGGAAGAUUGUUUAUAAUGUAAGUGGUGAUAUAAAUGGUAAUAUGGCUAAUAAGAAAAUGACAUAACAACAUGUGUGAGCAUGGUUCACCUAACAUCAACCACAUUGCGAUUUUUACGGUCCAUAUCCUUGCCAUUUUGUUGUGGUGUGUAAGGACAUAAGAAUUUGUGAUGAAUAGCAUGAGAUGAGAGAAAAGUAGAAAAAGGAUGAAACUCACCACGCCACUUUGUUUGAAGGGAUUUGGUUUUAGUUUCAAAUUAAGUAUCAACAACACUUCUAAAUUUUAAGAAGGUCAGAUAAAUAACAUUUUUAGUCUUGAGAAGAUAGAGCCAAGUAAAACAAGGAAAAUCAUUAAUAAAUGACAAGAAAUAACACAUUCUAUUCACGACGGGAAUAGGUGUUGGACCUCAUAAAUCAAAGUGAACUAAUUCAAAAGGUUUCAUUAAUUUAGAUUCUAAAAGAACAAAAGGUGAUCUAAGACUUUGGCUAUUUGGCAUGAAGAACAAAAUUUUGAAACUGAUUAUAGUGCUUUUAACACAUCAAAAUAAGUUAAGACACCAUUCGCUAUGUGGGAGGCUAGAUAGCCAAGGUGAUUGUGCCAAAAAUUAUUCUUGUUAGAGGAGAUAAAAAGAGUUGAGGUUAGAGUUGAUGCAAUAGUAAGAGAUUAAGGUGUUGUUGAGAUAAGAGAGAAUGAAAUAGGUUGAACGCGAUUGAGGCCAUGAUCAAGUUGACCUUGAAGAGGGACUUUCUUUAUGACUUCUUUAACAAGGAAAUAAUUAGGAUAAAAUUCAACAAAUACUCUAUUAUCAUAAUAGAGUUUGGUAACACUAAGUAAGUUGUUAGAGAGAGUAAGAGUAUGAAAAAUGUGUUUCAAUGUGAAUGGGGAGCUAAAGAAAGGCAAUAGGACAUUACCAACAUGAGAUAUGAAAAUUUUCUCACCAAUACCAACCAUCACUUGGUCUUUGCAUUGGAACAAUAUUGGAUUCUAUAGCAUAGUAAGAUUAGGAGUGAAAUGGUGGGUUACUCCUAAGUUCAUGUACCAAGGACCAAUUCUAGCAUAAUAUGUCGAAUGUUGAGAAGAUGCCACAAUGUUGAGGGCUUGUUGAGAUGGUGUUGGGUCAUGGUAAGGGGUGUUAUCAUGGUAUUAAGGUUUUUAGGUAGCAUGUGAGGUUGAUAAUUGAGGUUGGCACAAUGGUAGCACACCAGGGUAAUAUGUCCAAUCUUCCUACAAAUUUGGCAUUAUAGUUUGGCGCCAUUGCCUUGAAAAUUUUCUUUUGGCUUUUGUUGAAUGUUGACCAUGAAAUGGAGGUACUUGAGGCUUACCUAGAAUGUCAUGUUGUGAGUUUAUGUGGACUAAAGGAAGAAUGAGAUUGGUUGUUGUGCAAAAAUGGAGACUAAGGAAAAGACUUAUUAUGGUAAGAUUGAAGGAUGGGAGGCUUAUGAAAUUCCUAUUAUGAUUAAAUGUUACAACAUUUGCCUACAAGGGAAUGUGUUGAGUUGUAGAACGUGGUUACUCCAAACGAAACUCAUAAUUCAAGAACAAACUAUGCACUUCUUCUAUGGUGGCUAGACAAGUAUGAUGAUCUAUAGUUGAUGGAUGUAACAAAAGCAUAAUAUUCUUAGACCGCCAACCAUAUGGAUCAAUCAAAUGAUCAUUUUGUGAAACAAGCUCACCAAUGGCUACCAAACUAUUGCAUAGUCCUAAUUUAAGCUUUAGGAUAUAAUCCAUACUAGAUAUUCCAUUUUUAGAUGUGUGCAAUUAAGUUUUUAGUUCUAUCAAUCUUGUCAUCAAAAUAGUCGAGUAAAUCUAGCCCAAUGCACAUCAGAUCUCAAGUAUAGUAGUGUAUCCUAUAAUUUGGGAUAUAACUCGCUUCGUCAAUAAAGUAUAGAAUUAGUUCAUAAUCAAAUGAUUAUAUUUAUGCCACAUAGUAUAUUUUGAAUUGAGAGUGAGUUGUUAAAAAUUUAGACUUUUUUGAGGUGAAUGAUGCGCUAAUUUUAAACCGAGAACAUUAAAGUGAAAUUUCUUAAAUAACUUCGAAAUAUGAUUCCAACCAGUUUUGAAUUUUUAUUUUAAAAAGAUAAAAUUAAAUUAAGUUUAAAUAUAUUUUAUUUUUUAUUAUUGCAAAGUCACAUAUAAAAAUAAAUUAUUAAAUUUAAAUUCAUUUUAAGUUUUUUAAUUUUUUUUUCCUUUUUAAGUUUUUCGUAACCACACUCAGCCUUGCAAAAUAUUGAGAUGGUUGAAAAUGAAAUUUGGAAGUAAAGAGGAUCAUUCAAUUCUAUUCCAGAAAUAGGCUGAAAACCGGUGAAAGAGCCGUUAUAAAACCUUCACGGUAGCCUGAAAUUCCGUUAGUGUGACGUGGCGCUCCCACGUAGCCUGUCAGAACUACAAUAUCAUCGCUUCUUGUCGGCCGGCCGCUUUAAAUCACAGUAGGGGACACAAACUCCCUGUGCAAACCCAAAUCGUCGUCUCUGUCUCUAUAAUGGUGAGAGGUUCGUCGCAGUCUCAGGCCUCAUCGUCCGUUACCUCCCGUCCGUCCACCGUCGGCAUGGCGCCGCGCGGCUCUGCUGCAGCUACCGCUGGCAUGCGUCGCCGCCGCCUCGGAACGGGGAGCGCUGGUGGUGGCUCCGGCGGGUUCGGCAGUGGCAGUAGCGGAAGCAACAUGCUCCGGUUCUACACCGAUGACGCUCCGGGCUUGAAGAUUACUCCGACGGUGGUUCUCGUGAUGAGCCUUUGCUUUAUCGGCUUCGUCACCGCUCUUCAUGUCUUCGGUAAGAUCUAUCGCCAUAGAUCUGGUGGAGUGGCUUGAUCAAGGAUCUCUUCAACAUCUUCUCUAACACUGUGACACGUCUUAGUGUUUUGAUUCUGUUCUCCUACCGUGGUCUAUAGGCUUGUAUUGAUUUUUGCGCCUCUAGUGUUUCUCAUUUCUCCAAAUCGCACUGUAUGGAAAAUUUUGGAAGGUUUUAUGAUCGAUUACGUUUCGGAUGUCAAAGCGGAAAAUUGCUCCAAUUUCGGGUUCUGCAUUCUACAAUACUUGGAUAUAUCAUUCUUGAAUCAGAAACUCAUGACUGGUUUUUUGGUUUUGCACACAUGGCCUCCGUCAGAUGGAUAGCUAGAGUACAAUUUAGGAAUAACAUGCACCUCCCUGCUAAAUUGUUGGGAGAUUUGUUCAAUAAACUCAUUAGAAAUCUAAGAUAAAGCUUCUCUUCAGCCAGUUAUGUAGUGGAAUCUCGUUAAUAGCUUAAACCAUAGCAAUUAAUUUGCUAUAAACAUAUAUGCAAUUUGGCAGACACAUAUGUACACAACAUAGAAGCAAUUUAAUAAACAUAUGCAGCGGCACAUAUAUAUAUAUGCUUCGUUGUUUGAUUUUUGAAUUGCCAAGGCUCUGCCAUAGUUUUUGCCUACAAAUGAAACUUUUUUUUCCCCUGUUGCUGACAUUGUUUGAAAACUAAAAUUCUCCUGCAAGUGAUCAUCUUGGUUUUUUGGGUGCCAAUCUAUCUUUGGUGUUUUUGGGUGGGGAGGAGUCAUCAUGCUGUUAGUACUUGAGACCACAAGUGAGAGUGUUCUCUCCUUAUUCUUCCUCUUCAUUAGCUCAUGGAGCUGCCAUAACUUAGAAAACAAAGCAACAAAGCUUUAGGAGGAAACAAAAUGACAUAAGCAUGGAGUGAAAGAUUUGUAAUCCCUACACUUUAUGCUGCUAUUUGUUUUUUCCCCCCGUCUUUUCUUAUUGAGUGUUCGCUGAGGUACUUUUCAAGUAAUGGGCUCCAUCCUGUUGGACCUUUGCGCACAGGUCGGUGGAUAAUACAAACCCUCUUUCUCAUGAUUGUUCUUUGGAUUUACCCGAGCUGUUCCUUUCGUUAUGAAUUUUAACCCACUUAACUAUUGUGAAUAGCAUAUACACUUCUGCUGUUUUUUUAUUUCCCACAUCAUUUAUCAUAGAAAAAAAAUAUGAGAAAAAUAGUGGUGUGAAAUGUGGGCAUAGCAAUGGGUUUUGCAGUCUACAUUGAUUCAAAGUAGUUUUAGUGGGAACAAGAUGAAAUGUUAAAUUUUGGAAGCAUAUGUGGUGUAAAGAUGUCCUAUUUUUCAUUAGAUUUUUCCCCUUGCAGUUAAUUUGGAUGCUGGAUGGAUAGUUGAAAUUUGCUUAGGGAAUCCUUUAUGAAUAUAUGUGUGGCAUUUGUUUCUCAUGGAUACUGAGCAAUAAAUUGAAGUUUUGACAGAUGAGCAGUGGUUCUGCUGGCAGCUCAGUUGAUGGAACAGGUCUUGAAUGCUAUGGGGUAUCUUCUAAGUUAUUUGGUAUUAUGAAUAACCAUGCAUCUUACACGGAUUAUAUUAAUUGAAUGAACUUGAGAUACAAAUUGACAACUUGAAAAAGAGAUCUACGGGAUAUUUUGAAAAGAUUUGUUGCUCUUCAGAGUGGUUGAUUUCUAGGACCAGAACAAUCUCAUACAGGUGCACAUCAUCUCUGCAUUCAUUAUUAGACCCCCCACUCCCUUCCUCCCUCUCUAAUAUGUCUUUAGAAAAAUCAUAAAUGUGUCUUUAGAAAGAUGAUAAAUGUUGGAUAUCAUAUACUGUGUAGAAAGAUAAUCAGGCUCUCUCCCUCAGACCAAUGUCCUCAAACAUUCCUGUUAUUCCUGUUCCAGCACCUUUGACUAUCAUCAUCUGGCAUUUUACAUCCCACUGUUGCCAUUAAUUGCAUUUCCCUGUUUCCCCAAGUUGGGUUGCUAGAUUUCCUAAUUCUCUUAGUCUUUGACAUUUGCCUUCCUUAAUCAUUCUACUCAUCUAUGAUUAUUUCAUCUCAAUUUUCAUGACCAUGUUUCUUGGUUGUCCAACAUCCCACCUUGAAAACAGUGCUACUUUCAGCUCCCCAGUUAAAUUUUCUAGUGCCUUAUCUAUCUGGAAAGCACACAUUCUUUUGCCACUAAGCAUUAAACUAUGGUCAAUUUUUUCUCUAGUGCCUCUCAGGCAUCAAUCUUUCCCAUCUUCCCACCUUGAUGUUGGGUCUUGCUUUCAAAAAAGUUACUGCUGUUCUGUUACUUGAGGCAAGACUAUGACUACUGUAAUUUUUUUCUUUAGUUUUAAUUUAAUGCAGGGUGGUCUCAAGCUAGUAUGCUUUAUUCUCUGCCUUUUCUAUUCCUGAUAAUGAUAAUCCUUCUGUGUAUAUCUUUUUCUGGCUGUGCUCCACUUUCUUGUGGCUUUCAUUCCACACUGAGUAAUAAUUCAUUUUUUAAACGUUAAUCAAGCUGCUGAGCUUGCUUAGGGGCUUGGGCCACAAAGUUUGAUGAAGAAAUGAUUUGAUGUGUGGUUUCCCUUCGAGAUUCCAUAAUUAUCUUUUUGAUAUUUAUUGUCAUGGAAAUAUCAGCAGCUUCUUAAGAUUUAAUGUGACAUCCUACAUCGGGUAGUGGGAAAGUUUCUGGCGUUAUAUAAGUAUGAACUUGUUUUAGCCCUGUAGAUGUGUUUUAAAANNNNNNNNNNNNNNNNNNNNNNNNNNNNNNNNNNNNNNNNNNNNNNNNNNNNNNNNNNNNNNNNNNNNNNNNNNNNNNNNNNNNNNNNNNNNNNNNNNNNAUAUAAGUAUGAACUUGUUUUAGCCCUGUAGAUGUGUUUUAAAACCGUGAGGGCCUCUUUGAGUUCAAAAUAGACAAUAUCUACACUAUUAGGAGCAGGUCAUUAUAAAUGGUAUUAGAGCCGAUCUCCGACUUCUGUGGGGGUUUGUUUGGCCUCGUAAGGAUGUUUGUCUAUUUGGUCCUACAAUCUCGUGGGACUGCAUGGGGGUGUUUAUGACAUCUCAUAUUGGAUAGGGAGAUCUCUUAACCCUGUAGACGACUUUUAAAGUCGUGAGGAUCCUUUUGGGUCCAAAAUGGACAAUAUCUACACGGUUGGGAGCGGAGUCGUUACAUUUACAGUUUUUGAUUGAAGGUAUUCCUUGAUGCGAGUGAGGGCAAUAAAGAAGUGGCUCCAAAGUGGAUACCCCCACACGGAUUUGUAUUAUUGUAUAGACUAAGAUAAUGAAUAUUUAUUUACAUAAUAUUUAGAUAUUCAAUGAAUACAAUCUGGAAAACAAGGGAAUUUUGUUGACUAGGCACUUGAUUCAUCCACCAUAGUAGUGGACUCGUUACUUUAAUUUCGAUUAUUGCAGGGGCCCAGUUUGAACUGCGAUGCAGAGAGGCUGAAAGGGUUCUUAUCACUUAUCGGUUAUCACCCACCCACCAUCAAUCUUGAUUAAGAAACCUUACCUGCAAGAGCUUUCCAAACUCCAAUCAAGUAAGGAAAGGUUUUUGCCCAUCAUCACCACCUUACCCAUGGGACAGUAUCAUUGGGAAUGAGUGGAAACACGCGUUGUAGAGGCUUUGGGUUGGCAAUUGACAUGGAGGGAAUCUGGUGGUGGCGGUUAUAACAAACCAUGGUGGGGUUUAGUUUCAAACCUUUAAUUUACUCCUACCUGUUGUUGAAUCAUGAUUAAAAUCUUGUGUUAUACGAGUGCUUAGGAAACAUUUGACACAAAUACAGAUGGUUGCUGAUUCCACCUCUUGUACUAAAAGAAAUUAAAGAAACAUUAAGAAGGUGAUGAAAAUUUCAAAUUAUUUUAUAAUAUUUUUAAAAAAAUUUAUUUUGGUAAAAAAU
rnacentral:lncRNA from 1 species